UCCGGUUCUUCACCAGCAGUCUCCUUAGAGUCCCCGCCACUACGCGUUGGCAACUAAGGAUAGGGGUUGCGCUCGUUACGGGACUUAACCCAACAUCUCACAACACGAGCUGACGACAGCCAUGCAGCACCUGUCUCUAGGUUCCUUUCGGCACUUCUACAUCUCUGUAAAAUCCCUAGGAUGUCAAGGGUAGGUAAGGUUCUUCGCGUUGCAUCGAAUUAAACCACAUGCUCCACCGCUUGUGCGGGCCCCCGUCAAUUCCUUUGAGUUUUAACCUUGCGGCCGUACUCCCCAGGCGGAGAACUUAUCGCGUUAGCUUCGAUACUUAUGCGCUCGCGCGCACCAACAUCUAGUUCUCAUCGUUUACAGCGUGGACUAC
rnacentral:misc_RNA from 1 species